GUUAGUUUCGUUUAAGCAUUAUUACUGUGUACGUAAUUUCUCUUCAUAUUAUCAAUUAAUAUACACCGUUUCUCUGCGAUUAACUAUCUUUGUUCUUCUUUACUUUUAAUCUUGUUUCUUGUUGUGAUAUUUAUUACUUCAUAUUGUGUCAUUAUCUCAUUCAUUACAUUCCCUCCGGGUUCAACAAGUGGUAUCACAGCUUGAUACUUCUUCUGUGGAUUUGUUGAGUUUUUUCAGAUAUGACUGCCAUGAAGUAUGACAUUUCGCUACUAGAUUACAAUACAAAGGUUUCUUUGUAGCAAGUAAAGAUGAGGGUCAUUCUGGCGCAGUUGGAUUUGGAUGAUGCGCUGCUGGAUUUUGAGAAAAUGCCAGUUGAUUGGACAACAGAAGAGAAACAACGGAGAGAUUGAAAAACUUUAUCACAAAUCUAUCUUCAUUCAUUCAACUACAUUCUGCAGGAUGUCUUAAAGGAGAAAACAGCGGCUGCUUUGUGGUUGAAAUUGGAGCAGUUAUGCAUGACUAAAAGUCUCACGAGCAAACUGGCUCUAAAGCAGAAGCUGUAUUCCCAUCGCAUGGCGGAAGAAGAGUCACUAGAGGACCAUAUUGCCGUGUUCAGAGAAAUAGUUACAGAUCUAGAGACAUUGGAUGUCAUGUACAAUGAAGAGGAUCUGGCCUUGAUCCUAUUGUGUUCGCUGCUUGGCUCUUGUGCAUCGUUUCUGGACACCAUUUUGUAUAGUCGAGAUACUUUGACUACAGACGACGUCUAUGAUGCUUUGUACUCAAAGGAGAAAUUGGAGCAUUUGGUUGGAGCUAUAUCAAGGGAUGAGGAAGCUUUUGUAUCUCAUGGUGGUUGAUGAAAGGGCAGAUUGAAGAAUAAAAAUUUGUUUUGCUUCAGGCUAAAGGUGAUUUAGUUGCAAAUCGUGGAGCGCGACCUUUAACUUCAGACGAAACAAAUGUAGUUGAGGAUUUUUCAGACGUUGGAAAUGUGAUGUUAACCGUGGUAUCUGACGAUAAAUCUAGGCCUAAUGAGGAGUGGAUUCUUGAUUCGACAUGUUCAAAUCAUAUGUGUUCCAAUCGAAAUUUCUUACAAACAUAUGAGGUUGUUCAACAAGUUGGAGUUUUAAUGGGAAACAACCAGUCUUGCAGUAUUGUUGGGAUCGAUCGAGUCAAAUUUAGGCUGCGGGAUGGGAUAGUCAGAACAGUGGAUCAGGUUCGACAUGUUCCAGACUUGAAAAGGAAUUUCAUCUCGCUUAGACUUUGGAUGCAAAAGGGUAUAAAUUCUCUGAUGGAUGUGAAGUCUUGAAAAUUCGAAAGGGUGUCCGGGUUAUACUAUAGGGAUGGAGGUCUCAGUUGUUUGUCUUUCAGGGGAGCGCAGAACCAAUUAAGAGACAUUUGGAGAAGUUCAGUACCAUGGUGGAUAUUCAGUUUGAUACAGUACCUCUUAUAACAGGGCUCUAGGUCGGUUCAAAACAUUGCUCGAGGGAGCAUUGGUGAUUCCGCUUUGCCACAAAUUUCAACGGUUGCACUGUGUUUAGUUGCUAGGAUUGGAUUCAUUGAGUGUAGGUACUAUGGUGUCAGUUAUGUCUGUAAUGCUUUUGGAGAUGUUGAAGGCGAUAGUUCUAGCAAGGGGCCUUCUGUUAAGGCAAAUUGUAUGGUUUCUGCUACAGGAUGUGCUUCGACCUUGUUUGGUAAACAUUAAUUCCUUGGUGAAAUUUUGGGAACUCGGGAUAGGGUUCAGAUGUCACUUAUGGACACCGUGCAGAGGACGAUGAUUUAUAUGGAGAGUUUUGAUUACUGCAUUGAGGAGAUUGGCCAUUUCAUUUCGAUGUAAACGGGUUUAUUUCUUAGGUGGAGAAAUUUUGUGGAGCCCUGCUCAUUGUAUCGAAAUUUGAGUCAAAGUGGAGAUUGUUAGGUUUUAUGACUCAAAUAUAGUUAAGAGUUUUGUGAGAUUGCGUAUUUGAUUUUUACUUGAAAAGGAAGAUUGUAUCCAAGUUGGAUAAGGAAAGGAAAUCCUCUCUUGGUCGAAGUUCUAUACGCAAUUGUAAUCUAAUUUUAACAGGUUUUCUUACUUUUUAGGACUCUUCUAGGGUUCGGAACAUGGCCUAUAAAUACAAAACUCAUCUAUCAGUUUUGUUUAAAUAUUAUUACCG
rnacentral:lncRNA from 1 species